UAGAGUUUGAUCCUGGCUCAGGAUGAACGCUAGCGACAGGCUUAACACAUGCAAGUCGAGGGGCAGCGGGGAGGUAGCAAUACUUCCGCCGGCGACCGGCGCACGGGUGAGUAACACGUAUGGAACCUGCCCGUAGCAGGGGGAUAAACGGAAGAAAUUCCGUCUAAUACCGCGUAAUAACUCCGAGAGGCAUCUCAUGGAGUUUAAAGGGUAACACCGGCUACGGAUGGCCAUGCGGCGCAUUAGCUAGUUGGCGGGGUAACGGCCCACCAAGGCGACGAUGCGUAGGGGUUCUGAGAGGAAGGUCCCCCACACUGGUACUGAGACACGGACCAGACUCCUACGGGAGGCAGCAGUGAGGAAUAUUGGUCAAUGGGCGCGAGCCUGAACCAGCCAAGUCGCGUGAGGGAAGACGGUCCUAUGGAUUGUAAACCUCUUUUGUCGGGGAGCAAAAGACGCCACGUGUGGCGUUCCGAGAGUACCCGAAGAAAAAGCAUCGGCUAACUCCGUGCCAGCAGCCGCGGUAAUACGGAGGAUGCGAGCGUUAUCCGGAUUUAUUGGGUUUAAAGGGUGCGCAGGCGGAAGAUCAAGUCAGCGGUAAAAUUGAGAGGCUCAACCUCUUCGAGCCGUUGAAACUGGUUUUCUUGAGUGAGCGAGAAGUAUGCGGAAUGCGUGGUGUAGCGGUGAAAUGCAUAGAUAUCACGCAGAACUCCGAUUGCGAAGGCAGCAUACCGGCGCUCAACUGACGCUCAUGCACGAAAGUGUGGGUAUCGAACAGGAUUAGAUACCCUGGUAGUCCACACAGUAAACGAUGAAUACUAAUUGUUCGGGGAGAAUGAUCCCUGAGUGAUACAGCGAAAGCGUUAAGUAUUCCACCUGGGGAGUACGCCGGCAACGGUGAAACUCAAAGG
rnacentral:rRNA from 1 species